GGUAUAGGAAUCUACCUAGUAGUACGGAACGAAUUAGUUGGAAACGGCAACUAAUACCGUAUACGCCCUACGGGGGAAAGAGUUUAUUGCUAUUAGAUUGAGCCUAUAUUAGAUUAGCUAGUUGGUGGGGUAAUGGCCUACCAAGGCAGUGAUCUAUAGCUGAUCUGAGAGGAUGAUCAGCCACACUGGAACUGAGAUACGGCCCAG
rnacentral:rRNA from 1 species